UUAGCUGAAAUGAUUUAUGUUUGAACCGAACUGAAGCUGCCUUGAACUUGCCUUAGUAGCUGUCCUGAAUCUUGAACUGUGGGGUUGAACCGGACUGAUUAACCUUUGUUCCAACCGUUCUGUUAUUGGUACAGAUGGUCAAGGAUAGUGUUCGGAUCAGCCGGAUCCUUGUGGUGGUUUUAAAUCGAGAAUAUUCCAGAAGCUGAGUGUGAU
rnacentral:lncRNA from 1 species